rnacentral:rRNA from 1 species
GAUGAACGCUAGCGGCAGGCCUAAUACAUGCAAGUCGAACGGUGUCUUCGGACAUAGUGGCGCACGGGUGCGUAACACGUAUGCAACCUACCUUACAUUGGGGGAUAGCCUUUCGAAAGGGAGAUUAAUACCGCAUAAGACAGUAGCUGGGCAUCCAGCAGCUGUUAAAGAUUUAUCGAUGUAAGCUGGGCAUGCGUCCAAUUAGCUAGUUGGUGAGGUAACGGCUCACCAAGGCAAUGAUUGGUAGGGGAACUGAGAGGUCAAUCCCCCACACUGGCACUGAGAUACGGGCCAGACUCCUACGGGAGGCAGCAGUAGAGAAUAUUGGGCAAUGGACGCAAGUCUGACCCAGCCAUGCCGCGUGCAGGAUGAAGGCGUUAUGCGUUGUAAACUGCUUUUAUACAGGAAGAAACGACUCUUGCGAGAGGCAUUGACGGUACUGUAUGAAUAAGCACCGGCUAACUCCGUGCCAGCAGCCGCGGUAACAC